UACGUAGGGUGCGAGCGUUAAUCGGAAUUACUGGGCGUAAAGCGUGCGCAGGCGGUUUUGUAAGCCAGAUGUGAAAUCCCCGGGCUCAACCUGGGAAUGGCAUUUGGGACUGCAAGGCUUGAGUGCGGCAGAGGAGACUGGAAUUCCGUGGUGUAGCAGUGAAAUGCGUAGAUAUCGGGAAGGAACACCUGUGGCGAAAGCGGCGCACUGGACCACAUCUGACGCUGAGGCGCGAAAGCUAGGGGAGCAAACAGG
rnacentral:rRNA from 1 species